ensembl:lncRNA
GCGCUACAGAGAGUCAACAUUUCACCAGCUGUCAGUGGGUGAAUUUUUGUGUCCUAAUUUAAAUAAAAAAUAAAUACAAAGAAACUAGAGAAUUUUGCCCGGAAUUAUUCAAAAUUUUUAGAUUUUUUUGGGUUACCCUUCUAGAUUGACAAGUUUAGCCCGUUACACAAAAAGUUUGGACACCCCUGAUCUAUAACAAUGACAAUCAGAACAUGGCUAUCCAACACUUUGUUUUUAGUGUUACUUACUAUUCUAAUAGAUAUUGUAUGUUCAUCUAGGAACAGCAUGAUGUAAAUACAAGACGGGCCCUCGUCCUUCGUGCACUUCCUGUGUACCUGCGUGAAGAUGCCUCCACAUUAUUCAGGACUUGUGAUUCAGCAGAUGGUCCAGACCUCACUGACACUCCUGUGGCUCUGCUGACAGUUGUCACAGAUGACACUACUGAUUCGGCCCUCUUCAGUCCCGAAAGCAUCUGCAUUGUCGUUGAGGAUGAAAUACUUGUGAAUGGUCCCACAAAUCUGGCUGACUCAUUUCUCCUGCUCUUUGGGUACAUCUAUGCACUAGACCUACAAUACCUAAAGAAACUUGAGCUUACAUUCACAUUUAUCCAGAAGGUUGUGAUGUGCCUUGAGGACAACAAACCACUGAAAGGGCGUCUACUGACGCUGAAGAAUGAUUUGUUCAAUGAGUGAAUCACUCAGAAUGGACUACUUGUUAAGCUGAGUAUUGAGGAAGCUUUUUUUUGUUUGUUUUUUUCCUAAUCAUUUGCCUCUCCUACCUCACAUUUAAGAUGAAUGACUGUUCAGUUCAUGCACUAUUCAUGUUUAAUGUUCUAUUGCCUAAUACGUAAAUGCACUGCCUUGAUGUUUGUUCCCUAUAAGUACAGCAGUGGAAAACAGUACUGUUUUUUUUUUUUAAUGUAUUUUUAAAAAAGAAAGUGAGCUGCAGCUGUCAAGGUACAGUAAGUGUUAAAUGCCUCAAUGUUCUAAUAGCUGCAAUUGCUGUUAAUACUGAAAAUGUUAUUGAAUUUUAGAAUUGAGAUGGAGACCCUUGGAGUCUUUUUCUCUUGUUUUAUUUAUGAAGCACUUUUUUAUGAGUGAGCUCUGUUGUUUGUGCCUUUUUAAAAGCACAUUGUGUUUAAUAAAAAGUUGUUAAAUUGUUAGUGUUGUUACUUUCAUGUUUUCUAACACUUUUAGCUGAUUAUAAUUUACUGGGCAAACAGUUUAG